UGGAGGUCACAGAAGUCACGGCUUCCAUGACUUUCUGGGACCUCCGUGAAUUCUGCAGCUGCCCCCUAAGUUACCCCCAUGCCCGUGAGCUGCAAUGUCUG